UACAGAGGUCUCAAGCGUUGUUCGGAUUCAUUGGGCGUAAAGGGUGCGUAGGCGGUGUCGUAAGUCGGGUGUGAAAUCCCUCGGCCUAACCGAGGAACUGCGCCCGAUACUGCGAUGCUUGAGGACCAGAGGGGUGCAUGGAAUUUCCGGUGGAGCGGUGAAAUGCGUUGAUAUCGGAAGGAACUCCGGCGGCGAAAGCGAUGCACUGGCUGGUUUCUGACGCUGAGGUGCGAAAGCCAGGGGAGCAAACGGG
rnacentral:rRNA from 1 species